ensembl:lncRNA
GUACACCCUCAGAUCUUGUUCCUGUCACUCUAUCCUGCUGGAGGUGCUGAAGAAAGUGCGCUCUCAUGUGCCUUUAGCAUCCUAUACAGUACUGCAGCCCAGCAAGCAGAAGAGCAGCUCUGCUGGCCUUGGCAAACAGCUCCCCAUCUGCCAGAGCUUUCUGAGAUUGCAGAAGUUCAGAAAAUAUCCCAUGUCUGCAGCAUGGCAUCAUCCAUACCCACAGCUUGGUGUUCACAUUUUUGUUACGGUGAGUAGCACUGGUGAGGGAUAUCAGAGGGAAAGANNNNNNNNNNNNNNNNNNNNNNNNNNNNNNNGGAAAAAAAUUGUUGAUAAAUGGUCUCUUCCUAAGCAGACAGAGUGUGCCUGAGUGAAAACCAUAGAGAAAGUCCUUCUGCAAUGGCUAAACUGACAGCGAAGCAUGCUGAGGGUCAGGCCUUCAGUGGGUGAUUCAUGACUCAGGGUGUCACACGGGUUAAAGAUUCUCAUCUGAAGAGGAUUAGGAGUUUCCAAGGAAGCACAAUCCUUCAGGGCCUUCAGCAUUUCCUUGAAGCUUUUGGAGUCUCAGAGCUGCUUCAGACCUGCCUCAUUAUUCUGUCUCAUCACGUGUCCAUCCCAGUUUUGGCAGAAGGCAUGGAGGCAUCUCAUUCAGAUAAACAGAUGGAUUCUGCUUAAAAACCUAUGCUUAAAAGGAGUGCCAGGAUAAGAAAAUAUU